rnacentral:rRNA from 1 species
GAUGUUGGGUUAAGUCCCGCAACGAGCGCAACCCUUGAUCUUAGUUGCCAGCAUUCAGUUGGGCACUCUAAGGUGACUGCCGGUGACAAACCGGAGGAAGGUGGGGAUGACGUCAAAUCAUCAUGCCCCUUAUGACCUGGGCUACACACGUGCUACAAUGGAUGGUACAAAGGGCUGCAAGACCGCGAGGUCAAGCCAAUCCCAUAAAACCAUUCUCAGUUCGGAUUGCAGGCUGCAACUCGCCUGCAUGAAGCCGGAAUCGCUAGUAAUCGCGGAUCAGCAUGCCGCGGUGAAUACGUUCCCGGGCCUUGUACACACCGCCCGUCACACCACGAGAGUUUGUAACACCCGAAGUCGGUGGGGUAACCGUAAGGAGCCAGCCGCCUAAGGUGGGACAGAUGAUUGGGGUGAAGUCGUAACAAGGUAGCCGUAUCGGAAGGUGCGGCUGGAUCACCUCCUUUCUAA